rnacentral:rRNA from 1 species
UACAGAGGUCUCAAGCGUUGUUCGGAUUCAUUGGGCGUAAAGAGCGUGUAGGCGGUCAGGUAGGUCCGUUGUGAAAACUCGAGGCUCAACCUCGAGACGCCGAUGGAAACCAUCUGACUAGAGUCCGGAAGAGGAGAGUGGAAUUCCUGGUGUAGCGGUGAAAUGCGCAGAUAUCAGGAGGAACACCGAUGGCGAAGGCAGGUCUCUGGGCCACUACUGACGCUGAGAAGCGAAAGCGUGGGGAGCAAACAGG